AACGGAUAUCUCGGCUCUCGCAUCGAUGAAGAACGUAGCGAAAUGCGAUACUUGGUGUGAAUUGCAGAAUCCCGUGAACCAUCGAGUCUUUGAACGCAAGUUGCGCCCGAAGCCUUUCGGCCGAGGGCACGUCUGCCUGGGUGUCACGC
rnacentral:rRNA from 1 species